AUCAAGUUAUUUAUCUUGCAUUUUUAGUGGUAAUUUUUUGAGCAUUGAUAAUUACGCAGGUUAUUGGUUUUGCCUCCCCUCCAAUAACAGGGAUAAAAUUUGGAAGUGUUUCACGCUGGUCUUGGGAGAACAAGAAGAAGACGUCUUGUUCCCUGCAUAGGAUUCAUUUUAAAUUCAUUGUUAUUUCCAGGUAACCUCUUCAUCUGGCUGUUUGUCCUGCUGUCUCCCUGGCUCUAUGUUGUUAACCUAAAGAUCAUUAGAUAUAGUUGCAAGGUGGCUCAAACUUUACCAUCCUAAAGCUGAUUUAAUGGAAAUAAAUGACACUUUUUCCAACUUUCUCAACAGGAGUGCUGCUUGCCGUUAUCAUGGCUGGCUGAGUCCUUAAACCACAAACCAAAACAUUUCCAGAGUCUGGUGUCCUUUUCCAAGGUCUCGAGAGCUACGGCUGUGAUGGCCAGGGCCGUUGCUUGGUGGUACCAAGCUGACGAAAAGCUGCCAGUUGUUAUCCCACUGUACAGAUGCACCAGAAGUCGGCUGUGAACAUGGGUAACUCUCUCCGUGAGCCCAACAAGAAACGCGAGUCAGUUUUGUGCAGGUGCGUGCCUUGGCAACAGCCACACAUCAGAGGUCUGUGGCCCCCUUCCUAGCAGGGCAUGGGGUGCCCUUUAAAUUCGGGGGACUCUUGCAAUCCCAGGAGAGCUAAGGAAAGCUUUAGAGCGGCAGAUGCAUUUUAGAAAUAUGGGUUUCAACUUAUUGGUUAUCCCAAACUUACUGCCUACUACAGACAGUCCUAAAGGAUAGGUAGAGCCUCCUCUGUCACUGCCCUCUCUGAGUAGACGGGGCAUUAACCUGGAAGGAGCAAGCCUGGCUCACGCACGGCACUGCCACUGGCACAGCGUCCAAAGCUCUCCAGGUGUGGAGCAGGGCUCCUCUGCCUGAGCUUGCACUGAAGUUGUGGAGCAGGGUGAGCCCAAAUGUCAUUUCAAGGGCCAUUUUUAUUUCUAAGCAACCUGCUGUGGCAGCGGCUGUUACUCGCGAAGCAAGCUUUUUCUGUUAUGGAUUUAUUUUUCCUUUCUUUGUAGUUUAGUUAAAGUAACUGUGGAUGUAAGUGUACAGCUGGCUUCUGUAAAAGAAGAAAACACACGCUGUCUGCUCAAGCAGGAGGCUGUCCUGUCAGCGCUGCUGCCCAACGCAGCCCGGGCUGGCUUGCCCGCAGACCGGCACGUCCCCAUCCUCAGCCUCACAGCGGCGGAGCCGUCUGGGGUGCUUUGGGCCAACCCCAACUCCCUUCAGCCGCUGCCAAAACCCUCGCGGGCCCAGCGUUGUCCUGGUGUCGUGGCGAGAGCCCUCGGGGAGGUGGUCUUGCGGCUCCCGGCGAGCGUCCCCGCCGAGGCAGGCAUCACCUGGCCGUCCGCCUUGGCCGCUGGGCGAUUCCUGGCAGAGGUGACUCACAGGCAGGGAACCCUGCGAGGGCUCUGGCACAUGCCUGCACUGAAACACUGCCUACAGCCUCCUGCCUCUGCCCAGCUCGCCCUUCCUGCCGCCUUUCCCCCGGGGUCCUAACUCCCGACUUUGUUGCUCUAUAAACAUAAUAACAAUAAUUAUUCUCUCAUUGGACACAUAGCCAUCUUCUUUGUUUGCAGGCUUAGAUAAAUAUCAUUCAAAUCAUGGAGUCUGAUUCAUGAGUCAGGAUGAUGGCAGCCCUCCAAAACCUCCUUGCCCAUGGAGAGCGUGUUUGUGAGAGAGAGAGAGAGAGUUUCACUGUAUGAAGAGUUGAAGACCCAAAGACCAAGCCUUUAAUGGGGUGAAGAAGCUUGUGCUAACCCAGUGAAACCCAGGAGCGAUGCCUCGGUGUUGACGUCAGCCUGAAGACCGCAGCCUGCGUGACACCGCUCACACCUGGCGCGCUCAGCCCCCAGUGACCUGGGCAAGCAGCGCCUGGGCACUGCAUCUGCGGUUCCAGAGUGGAGGUCUGAGCCACGCUGGGCGAAGAAACAUGCCCGAACCCUCGCUCGCUGCUUGCAGCAGCAGAGAUGCUGCCCAAGGUGAUGUUCUUACCGAGCGGUGGAGACAAAAGAGCUUUUCCAGUUGUGUUCCCCAUGCAGUCGCUGGAGCCCCUCUCCCAGCCUGUUAGUGUGCUAAAGGCAGCUCACCUUAAUCAUCCCCUCCACCCCCCCAAAUAAAACUAUACACUCAGUUAAUUGCUCAGGUCCUCUGUGGUGGUGGUUCAUCACAUCAACAGACAUUUGGCUGUGUUUCCUGCUGAGGCUGUCUGGACCAUCACAUAACUGGGAUCCAUAUUUUUAUUAGUCAGUUUAAGCACAGGGUGCAUGAGAGGUAAACGUACAGUGUUUGUGCACGGGGGAGAGGGCUACGUCUGCAGGCACUGGAUGAAUGCACAUUUCUAUGAGAUGCCCUUUAAGACUGACUUUGGGAAGGGAACAAAACAAGAACGACAUAUAAGGGAAAGGGGAAGUUAUUUGGCAGUUUGAACAGAGACUGUCUAAUAAAUCAUGAGAUGAUCACACUGAAGGAAGAAAACCCAAUAAGCUGAUUACACUUACAUACACUUUCUAGCAUUAUUUGCCAUUGAGUGUUUACCGAAGUGUAACGCGGUGAAGCUGAGCUCAUGGCUGCCAAUAAAAUAGCUGUAGUGUCUGAUGUAACUCCCACUGCUGCAAGAGCACACGCUUGGCGGUGUCUCCUUGGAGCUCAGUGCAUGGCGACAGGAGAGAGCGACCUGAACUCACUGCGCACCCAGCAAUCCCUCUGCGCCGCGGGGUCCCCGCAGGGUGCCGGCCCUCUUGGGCAAGCGGCAGAGGGGCCGCUUUCUGCAUCUGUGGCAGCCAGGUAAUGAAAACAUCAGCAACAAAAAGAAGUAACCCCAUGCUCUGCUAUUUUUGAUUUGAGCAAUUUGUAAUUAGAAAAGCCCAAACCAGCUCAUCUUGUUCACGAGUAUUCCCAUUGACUAAAAUGCAGUCAGCAUGCACUUUAAUUUUGAACCUAUGCAAUCCUUUUCCGAUGAAGAUCUGGCAAGCCAGAACAGAUUACAGUCUGUGAGAUACUUGCAGUAUGAUAGUAUUUUACCUGUAGGUGGAUCCUCAUUUUAGAUAGUGAGAUGCAGAGCCAAUGAGCCUGAUUCACUGCUGUGUUAAUCCAGUUUUUCAGCAGAAUAACACCACUGAAUCAUCAGCAAAGUUGAAAUAACAAAUGAUAAAAUGGGAGCAUUGUGUCUAAGUUUGCAGAGUGUGUAUGGAAAUGACUUCUUGCAGAACCAUUAACCUAUAUGGAUUCUUUUCAGUUCAAAAUGUAUCAAGAAUAUGACAAUGUGUCUAGGCUAAAGUUUUACAUGUCAAAAACCCAAUUAAAAUCUAAUAUAACAGCUAGCAUGGGAGUCCCUCAGUAUGUUGAUGUGGUGAUUAAUUUUUUUUUUUUUUUAAUUCAGAAAAAGAAGAUUUUUUGAGAAAAGAGCUUAAACAGCUUCCAAAAAGAUGCAAUUUUUGAUGCAGUUCAUUUCUAUGCACCAGAUGGGCACCAUGUAAAGUUUAGAAAUAGGAUAAGUUAAAAACCUAGUCCUGGUUUCUUUUCAAUUUAUGAAAAUACUCACUGAGCAAUUGAAAAGAACUGAGUAAUUGUGACCUUUUUACAAGCAAUGCUCUGGAAAAGCCAACUAAAGGCAGUUAGCAAGCUUGCAAUUAGUAGUUCUAAUUAUAAAGUGUAUACAUAAAACAAUGUAGCAUCAUAAAUAAAGGCCAAAUUCAAAUGAUGCAAUAGGAACAGUAGAACAUCAUAUAAAGAUGGGCAAACGAUUCAGCAAGAGAAAUACUUGUUAUCUGUAUUUUUCCAAUAAUAGCAACCAAAAAAAAGAUAAAAUUAUAGCAGUGCUUUGUUUUAUUUUAUGUAACUUACAGUAACCCUGUCUCAGUGCCACCUGAUGCUCGUGUUUCUGUCGUAGACCAGAGUCUUCCUUGGAUGACGUUCACAGUCAUGGUGUCAGACUCUAAUGAGAGACCAUCACAAACACAAGCCGGUGUGGGAGCCUGUGGCUCAAACAGCGGGCUCAGAUCAUCUACGUCAUUUGUCUUUAUCAGGGGACUGCUUCAUGACCUACUUCCAUUUCCAUCACUGAAAGCAGCUAUCAAAUGCCACAGCUUUUUUUUUUUUUUUCUUCCUUUUUUUUUUUUUUUUUUCUUGAGCUUGCGCCUAUAUGCUUUCUAGGUAAGCCAGAUUUAUGUCAAAUGCAGGUUAUGGUAUGUUUAGGUAUGUGCACAUCCUAAGCUCCACGAAACUAUGACAACGCUUUAUGUACUACACGGGCAAUCAACAUUACGGAGCAGCAUCACUGCAGCUCUCCGCCGAAUGAAGCGUGUGCAAUAGCAGAGCAGGAUUACAUGCUGCAUGCUUUACAGAACUGCUCUCAAAGUCCUGGAUGCAAGUAGAGAAGAUGAAGAGACAUAAUACCUUAGGGAAAUGUUUUUAUUUAUUCUCUUUGGGUGCAUACAUGGCAAUCACCCAUGCAGCAUGAUCCAGGAUGUUGAAAACCAUUUCAUUAUGUUCUAUAAAUAAAAGGACUGAUGUGGUUCAAUUGUA